UAAGCGCCGGCUGCGCCGGAGGAGCGGGUCUGAGCUGGAGGGGCUACAGAAGGGCCACAGAGGAGCCACUUCGAAGGAGGAACCCUGGCAUCCAAGGCCACCAUGAGCUGCCAUUCAGCGGGGUUCCAGGGAGGAAGUGUGCCCCCGCCUGCUCCCAGUGUUCUCAGCAUUUCUCCUCUUCAGUCGCCAAACCCAAAAUGACCACUGAGGAUUUGUUUUUUGCUCCAACACUGGUAGGAGAAUCUCUCUUUCCCCCAGUCUGCACAAUUGCCCUUCGUCCUUCUUGAAAAGCCCACUUAUUUAUUUGACAGAUAUCUCCUGGGCCCUUGCUAUAUUCCAGGCACCAUUUUUGGAAACAGAGACGUUGCAGUGGAGAAAACCAAGUCCCUCCAUUCCCCGUACAUCUAGGGGACAGUCUCCCAAACUCAAGGCCCGGCGGGACGGGUGUCUGCACUGUUUUCCAGGACCCCUCCUGAGGGCUGCAAAAAGCUUCCAGGCCUCCAUGUUGAUGGCAGAGCAGGCAAGGCAGCUCACCCUUCACCCUGCUGACUUCUGUGCACAUUUGGGGCCACGUUUUCAACAGCUCCGGCACUGGAGCCAAGAUAAAGUCAGCCUAAGGUUUCCACCUCUGGGCCUGAACUCACCUCCUCAGCCCCUGAGACUCACCCAGAACCUCAUCAGGAGACCAGCUAACAGAACGAUGAGAACAGUUGGAGGAUCUUCUAAAGCCUUUCUCUUGCCUCAUAGUUUAUUUCCUUGCAGAAUCCAGCCCCUCAGAUGCAGCUGAUGUCUUAGCCACCACACACAGCAACCUUUUUUGUCUUCACAGUUGUCUCUGAAGCAGCUUCCAACUAAAUAAAAGCAGCUUUGUAAAGGACACAUCAUUGAGGCUCUCGUGACCUGUGCCAGGUGGGAGGAAGUGACCUCUGCUCUAUUUCCCAGCCCUGAUACCCAGCCUGGCAUCAGGCGGGGGGGGCUGUUGCCUGGUUACCCAUUUGCAUUUGUAAUUUAUCAGCGUUCUCCAAAUCAUAAAGGUUUGGGUUUUAGUUAUGCAUGUCUGGCCCCUGGAAGAAAGGCUGAAUGAGAUCCCUCAGGGAGGUAAAGCUUUGGUCCCUGAAUCAUCUCUU
rnacentral:lncRNA from 10 species